AUGAACGCUGGCGGCGUGCCUAAUACAUGCAAGUCGAGCGAACAGACGAGGAGCUUGCUCCUCUGACGUUAGCGGCGGACGGGUGAGUAACACGUGGAUAACCUACCUAUAAGACUGGGAUAACUUCGGGAAACCGGAGCUAAUACCGGAUAAUAUAUUGAACCGCAUGGUUCAAUAGUGAAAGACGGUUUUGCUGUCACUUAUAGAUGGAUCCGCGCCGCAUUAGCUAGUUGGUAAGGUAACGGCUUACCAAGGCGACGAUGCGUAGCCGACCUGAGAGGGUGAUCGGCCACACUGGAACUGAGACACGGUCCAGACUCCUACGGGAGGCAGCAGUAGGGAAUCUUCCGCAAUGGGCGAAAGCUUGACGGAGCAACGCCGCGUGAGUGAUGAAGGUCUUCGGAUCGUAAAACUCUGUUAUUAGGGAAGAACAAAUGUGUAAGUAACUAUGCACGUCUUGACGGUACCUAAUCAGAAAGCCACGGCUAACUACG
rnacentral:rRNA from 1 species